AUCGUUUCAACAGUGACAAAUACCACGUUGUCCUGCUCUGUUCAGACAUGUUAUGUAAUAAAGAAGCAAAGGUGAACAGCAAAGAAUAUAUUUCUUGAAAUGUUUAUUUCCAUUGUUGUAGACAAUGGUACAUUUCAACCCUCUGAUCUUAUUUACAAUGGAGGGGACACAGAAACAUGACGUUCAACGCUUACAGUUUGUCACAUCAGAAUGUGGUUCUACUUUUCAUCAAUAUAAACCAUGAAGCCAAACAGUCGUAUCACAAUCCUUGCAGGUUCUGUUGAUAAAAAUCCAAACCACUGGUUAUAGGUUUCCUGCAGUACUGCAGAAAACUUGUUUCCAGCAGUUUUGUUUUUACCACUGAGCGUCCAGUGCCGUACAGUCGACAAUUAUUUUUUAAUACAUAAUCAAAUAGCACAGAACAGUCUUUUGUAAUACACGCAGAAUUAACCCUUCACCUUCUCAUUAAACAGCAGGUAUAUUAGUAUCUUUAAAAUUACCCGAGUCUCGACUGCUGCCACGUCACUGUCAAACAUUUGUUUUUUUUUUCUGUACACAGUUUAAUGCUACCAUUAGGUCAGAUCAUGCUGCUGCCCUCACACCACAGAAGAAACAGACAGACCACGGCAUCCACAUCAGACACAGGUGGAGCCUUUUCAUUCUGAGAGUCAGUAUCUCAAGUAAGGACCUACAGACCUUCACCUAAAUAAACCCAUCUUACUGCAAGUUGCGGAGGAGAUCCUGCCUCAGGUGGAGGAGUAUCUUGUGGCCUUGUUCAGGAGUGACAGAAAGGUGAAUCACAUACUUACAACACUACUUCUGUCAACCACAUGUGUUAACACGAUUCAACAGAGGUCCCAUCAUCAGAACAAUUUAGUAAAACCUCUUCUUUUGGCCUGAAACACAAGGUGAACUUAAGACAACAUUACAUACAAAAAAUCUUGGAGACUACACCAUGUUCAAUGUGUUUAGCACUAGCAUGUUACCAAACACUUCAAUUAACCAUUUAAGCAAACCACUUGCUUUGUGCCACUACUUAGGACCCUAAAGAAUUUCACUUUUAACAAUUCAAGUAAUAAAUACAGAUACUUUAUUUAGACAAAGUCCUCACCCUGAUGUCUCCAUCUUCUCCUUCUCUUCUGCAAAUACAAAUAAAGUAAAUGUAAUAACACUACUACUUGUUCUGGCUGUAGUUAAUCUCGUCUGUACUGGAUUUGUCCAGUUGAUGUCACUCAGCCUUACCUUCACAAAAAACAUGCCUUACCACCGUGGAAAAAU